rnacentral:lncRNA from 1 species
GCAAUCUUAAACUAACACCUCCAAAUCUCCAACUAUUCUUGGCCAAAACGCUAGUAUUCAACAACUAAUAAAACAGUUAUUUGCUAGGUUAUUUGGCUGUCAUUCUUAUCAGUAUCACUAGACUGUGACAAACUGAUUCACAUAUAAUUUAAAACAAUACAGCAACAUAAAUUAAACCACUUUCAAGUUAAACUGCACACUUAUCACACAUUAUCACAGUCACCAUUUACACAGAAUAAACAGUUAACAGCUGUAUUCAGAACAUAUUAUUGGAAGGUAUACCAAUUUUAGUUUAGAUUUAUUUUAGGGAUUCUUAUGUGUACAUUUUCUUAAUUAACUUCAUUACUUUAAUCUACUAUAGUAUUGUAUUUAAAGAAAGGAUCCAUUUAUAUAGCGCGCUCAUAACUCAACUAUUUGUAUAAAACUACCAUUAACUAAUCUGAGAUGAUGCUGCAUCAAUUUAAAUCCUAUAGAAAUUGAACAAACAUCUGGACCAGAUUAAACAGACAUGGUUUCACCUGAAUCUUUCAGAACUCUCAGAGACUUAAAAAAUUUAUACUAUACCAUGUUUUAAAGGCAUGGCAAACCUUUAGACCGGUCAGUCUCCAAGAGCCCUUAGUAACACAGGUAAAAACCUUUUGUCCAUGAUGUCUGAUUCAGGCUAUAUACCACAAUUUAAAAUAUCACAUAAUGUGAGACAUAGAAGACACAAGCAGUAGUUAUUACACUGGAUCAUUUAAAAGGAACCUGUUGCAAUAAAAGGUUAGUUUACAGUGCAAAAUAAAGCAUGUGUUGGACCGCUGAAAAUGUAAAUGUUGCUCUGUUAUUUUCAAACAUAAAUCAUAUUUAGUAUGGAUCCUUUGCAACAAACACACAGGGCAGGGAAGAUGUGCUGAUUGGUGUUCUAUACAAUUAAUCCCAUAUGGGGAAUUAACUUUAAAAUACUAAUGAAGUGACUUUUUGUCUCAGUUAUAAAAUAUACUGAGCUCAUCAUGCAAACAAUGCAACACAUUUACACUAUCCCACUCUCAUAAUAAGUGUAGUGGGCUUAUGGUAUUUUUAAAGCAACAAUCAUACCAGGCACAUAGAUCCCAUGUGAAAUAACUUACAAUAAAACAGAGUAAUAAACUUAUACUUCUAUGCAACAGAAAGAAUAAAGUAAAAAGAUUUAAGUAGGUCUAUCAGGUACAACCUAUGAGUCAUUUCUUUUCUAAUAUACAGUACUGCUAUCUUGCAGAAAGAUAAGUCCUACGCUCACUCCCAUCACUACUGGGCAGCAGCAAGGACUACAGUACACAUCAGCCCCAAUAUAUGGUAAAAACCAAAGAAAAACAAGUUACCUGCGUUCUCUCCUUAAUCCCUAUGUAUUUUUAAAACCUCCAUUUGUUUAAAAGUACUACUAUCUUAUAUAUACACAUAUACAUAUACACACACACAUAUAUACAUACAUAUACACAUAUAUACAUACACACACAUAUACAUGUACAUAUAUUGGUCACUCAGGACAUGAACUCACAUUUCCCAUACUGCUGACUCAGAGUGGGGACACUACUAACUUACCAAAGUGUGUCCCCAAUAUAGACAAACAAUCACCCACAAAAAACACUUAAGACAAACAAAGGUGACCGGGAGAAAGAGAAGUUUGGGUUAUACUUAUAGAUCUACAAACCGUGCUACUCAGAACACCUAUAGACUUAAUAAACCGGAGACUCUUAUGGUCUCAAAAACCUGUAUCUACCUGAGAUACCCUGUAUCUAUCUUAGAUACUAACCUGGGUUACCAAAACCCUAUAAUAAACCGGAGACCUCUUAUGGUCUCAAAAACCUGUAUCUAUCUUAGAUACUAACCUGGGUUACCAAAACCCUAUAUAUAUUUAGACCAAAUGUCUAAUAAACCGGAGACCUCUUAUAGUCUCAAUAUAACUAGAGUCCUUACACCUUUCCUAUCUACUGGAUACAGUCUUACUGAACCAAACGGGGGUCAUAGACAAUCAGCGUCAAUAAGACACAAAAAGGCUACUCACCGCAAUGGUUUUGCUGAUCCAUCCAUCCCACUUCUAGACACCAAGCUGAAAGGGUUAAUGUUGUAAUGGACUCUAAUCCCCUCGGUUCUCGAUCCCUCGGUCACCAUAAUCAACGUUGAUGGAGAAUCAUUUGUAAGCAAUAACACACGGACAACAGCUUUACAAGAC